rnacentral:lncRNA from 1 species
CUGCCUUCCCCUCGUUCAGACGCACUGCCUCAGCUCAGACUGUGUGAGCUGCUCCUGGACAAACAUGUUCGUUCCACCUCCAGCUGCAGUGAUGGGCUCAUCAGUGAAGGCGUUCCUCCUCAUCACGGGUCAGACUCACGGAGCUGACCAGCAGAUCCUGGAUCAGCUGGAGAGGCAGGGACUGAGAGUCAGACCUACAGUCGACCUACAGCAGAGCGAUGUCAUCCUCCUCUUCUGUCCUAUCCUGUCCCGGGUCCGCUCCGACGUGGAGGCGGCUUUCAGAAAGAUCCCAGAUGGAGCUGAGGAUAAACCAGUGAUCCUCGUCCUGCUGCAUCACACUCGUAAAGUGGAGCAGGUGCUGAAGCCGAGCAACUGGAAGGAGCAGUUCCCCAACAUCACUCUGGAAGUCCAAGUUCUGUAUCAUGAGUCUCAGAACGGUCUGCUGGACUGUCCCAGGAACCAGGAGGCCAUUCAGACCCUCGUGAGCCUGAGCCAUGAACUCCAGACCACUGAGAAGACUGAAUCUGAGCCCGUUCCACCUCCAGCUGCAGUGAUGGGCUCAUCAGUGAAGGCGUUCCUCCUCAUCACGGGUCAGACUCACGGAGCUGACCAGCAGAUCCUGGAGCAGCUGGAGAGGCAGGGACUGAGAGUCAGACCUACAGUCGACCUACAGCAGAGCGAUGUCAUCCUCCUCUUCUGUCCCAUCCUGUCGCGGGUCCGCUCCGACGUGGAGGCGGUUUUCAGAAAGAUCCCAGGUAAGCGUCACUCCUGACCUGAGUAAU